rnacentral:lncRNA from 1 species
AACAAAGAAAGGAGGAAGUAACCUGUGGUAUGCUGAGAAAGCCUGGUGAAAUUGUACUCAGCCUUCACACCUCAGGUUAGAUGUCAUUUCCUAUGAGAAGCCCGCCUCGUUCAGGACGUCCAUGAUCUCUCACAGCCUUCUGUGUUCCCUCCUCAACACGGUGUUUUAUAGCUUUUUAAAAAAUUCUGUGAUCAUAUUAUGCUCAGCAAACAGAGAGAGACUAUUCUUGUUCCCUGUGCCUAGGAUGUGCUUGAUGUAUGGAUCUGUCUCCAGCGGGACCAGAAAACCAUAUGUGGCAAUACUUAUAAACUGCCUCUAGCUAUAUAGAUUAAUACAGAAUCAUCUUUCUGUAUGAGUUUUCCACCAAUAAACAUGUGUAGAUAUAAGCAAAGCUUUCCAUUAGAGCAAAUUGUUUCAGGUCCCACUGCCACCAACAGAUGACAUCAGUGGCUGCAU